CCCAAGCAAUCAUCUUGUAUCAAUUAUGAAAUUCAAGUAACAUGUUAAGACAAACACAAAAUAAGAAGAUUUGAUAGCAGUGAAAUGUUCAAAAACAAAAACAACAGCAAAAUAACAAAACAUUUACUUGGCCGAAUCCUCAAGUAUUCCAAGAGCUAAUAAUAGAUCGACACCAAAUUAUACUAAAAAUAAAACCUAUUCAUCAAACAAGCCGAAUCCCAUUUCCUCAUCACUCUCUUCUUCCUCUGGCUCUGGUUUCUUCUCGGCAGCAGCUGGAGCAGCAGCGGCACCACCACCUGAUGCUGCAGCUGGAGCAGCGGCAACAGCUACUCCGGGAGCACCACCUCCAGCAGCACUGGCAAUCAAAUCCCUAAUAUUUUUCUUUUCAGCAAGUUUAGCGAAUAAAGCAGGCCAGAAAGAUUCAACAUCAACCUUUGCGGAUUUCAACAAAGAGGUUAUGUUGUCAGCAGUUGCUGGAAUGUUGUCAUCUUCAAGGAUGAGAAGGGCGUAUGAGCAAGCAGUUUCUCCGAGCGACAUUUUCACACUACAUACAAAUUAUCACACCACCAAUCAAGAUCUGUAAGGAAGGAAUAAUGAUAUUCAAAUUCUAAUUCCAAUAACAAAAACAAAAGCAGUGUUACCUGAAAUUGGAACCAAAUGAGAUCGGAGACGACGAGAAGAAGAGUAAGGAGGAGGAGAGUUUCGCAG
rnacentral:lncRNA from 1 species